CCAACACCAGAUUUCCUUUGGGGAAAGUCUCCGGACACUGCGGCAGAGAGUGCCAGCCCUAAGGGCCAGACCCUGCGCCCCCCGAACCGCUGGCAAAGACGCCCGAAGGGCGGAGCUGAUAAAGGGGAGGGGUGCGCUGGUAUCAGUCACAGCACAGUUAUGCGGAUGGCGCCGCGGUCCAACCGCGGCGCUAACUCAACGGAGCUUACGUUGGUG
rnacentral:RNase_MRP_RNA from 1 species